GACGUAGGGCGCGAGCGUUGUCCGGAUUUAUUGGGCGUAAAGAGCUCGUAGGCGGCUUGUUGCGUCGAUCGUGAAAACUUGUGGCUCAACCAUGAGCUGGCGGUCGAUACGGGCGGGCUGGAGUUCGGUAGGGGAGACUGGAAUUCCUGGUGUAGCGGUGAAAUGCGCAGAUAUCAGGAGGAACACCGGUGGCGAAGGCGGGUCUCUGGGCCGAUACUGACGCUGAGGAGCGAAAGCGUGGGGAGCGAACAGG
rnacentral:rRNA from 1 species